rnacentral:rRNA from 1 species
GCCCACAUCUAGCCCCACCCACACUCUACACCCGACCAAAACAAAACCAAAACAUUUACAAUACCUAGUAUCGGCGAAAGAAAGGCAAAUAGGCGCAACAGAGGAAGUACCGCAAGGGAAAGCUGAAAUAAUCAUUGAAAUAAACAAAAGCACAACACAGCAAAGACAAACCCUUCUACCUUUCGCAUUAUGGUUUAGCAAACCUAAAAUGGCAAAAAGAAUUCAAGUCACACCCCCCCGAAACUGAGUGAGCUACUAAUCAGCAGCCAAACCUGGGCCCACCCCCCUCUGUGGCAAAAGAGCGGGAAGACUGUUUAGUAGAGGUGAAAAGCCAACCGAACCCAGUGAUAGCUGGCUGCUUGGGAAACGAAUAUUAGUUCUACUGAAAAUUCUUCUAACCCCCCAUAACAAAGGACAAGGAAAAACUUUCAAGUUACUUAAUAGAGGUACAGCUCUAUUAACACAGGACUCAACCUUCACUUAAGGGUAACCUAUCUUUACUAUUUACCGUAGACUUUAAAGCAGCCACCACAAAAAAGCGUCAAAGCUUACUUCUUAAAGAUCCCAACAACACCUCGAACCCUUCAUUAUCCACCAAGCCCCUCUAUAACAUUAGAAAAGACAAUGCUAAAAUGAGUAAUAAGAAAACGACUUUCUCUUUGGCGUCAACUUACAUCCUGCCUGACACCCUACAGAUUAUUAACAGCCACCCCCCUAUAACUACCACAAGAAUAAAAGAAGACUCUUAUCUGUUAACCCAACACAGGAGCGCCACAAGAAAGGCUAAACCUUGCAAAAGGAACUCGGCAAACAGAGAUUCCGACUGUUUACCAAAAACAUAGCCCUCCAGCCAAUUCAGUAUUGAGGGUGAUACCUGCCCAAUGACUACAGGUUGAAUGGCCGCGGUAUUUACAACCGUGCAAAGGUAGCGUAAUCACUUGUUCUCUAAAUAAGGACCAGUAUGAAUGGUUAAACGAGAAUCUAACUGUCUCCUGCAAACAGCCAAUGAAAUUGAUCUUCCUGUGCAAAAGCAGGAAUAACAUCACCAGACGAAAAGACCCUGUGAAACUUAAACCACCUAAGUUAAACCAACAAUACAACUGUAACCCCUACAACCGUUUACACCUAACUUAGCGUUUUCGGUUGGGGUGACCUUAAAACAAAAAAAAACUUUUAAGACAACUAUAACUAAGACCAAAUUAUUAACCAAGACCCACACCUCAAAGUACUUAAAUGUAAUUAGAUCCGACAACGUCGAUCAACGAACAAAGCUACUCCAGGGAUAACAGCGCAAUCCCCCUCAAGAGCCCAUAUCGACAGGGGGGUUUACGACCUCGAUGUUGGAUCAGGACAUCCUAAUGGUGUAACCGCUAUUAAUGGUUCGUUUGUUCAACGAUUAAAGUCCUACGCGAUCUGAGUUCAGACCGGAGCAAUCCAGGUCGGUUUCUAUCUAUGAUUACAUCUCUUCCUAGUACGAAAGGGCCGGGAGAGAAAGGCCCAUACCACCAAAGCACGCCUUACCUGCAACUUAGUGAAAACAACUAAACUAACAACCAGGACAACCACUCCCCCCAAAACAAGAGCAU